AUUCAGCUGACGAGUCCCAAAUAGGAAGAAAAUCUCGUCCUGGAU
rnacentral:hammerhead_ribozyme from 1 species